rnacentral:misc_RNA from 1 species
GGGGGAGGAGAUAGAUCUGCGAGGCAAGAUGAAUGCUUCAAAUGUGGGCGUCUUGGACACUGGGCUAGAGAUUGUCCUUCAGUUGGAGGUGGCCGAGGAAGGGGAGGAGAUUCAUUUCUUGGACGUUCUCGGCUUGGGGAUAGUGAUCGUGGGGACCGCUUUGCUGGAGAUAAUAAUCGUUAUGUGGAUGAUCGUUAUGAAGGUGGUGGGCGCUUUGGAGAUAGAGACCGUUUUGAUAGCAGCAGCAGGGACAACAAAUAUGGAAGUCGUGAUCGCUAUGUUAGUGACAGGUACCCACCUGGUGGAGACCGCUUCGGAAGCAGUAGGUAUAAUAAUGAAUCUGAUCGUUUCCCUGUAAAUGGCUAUGGCAAAGAUAGGGGGUAUUAUAGAGAUGGUGGACCUCGUGGCAUUGAUAAGUAUGGAAGCGGCGGUCCAGCA